AGUGAACGCUGGCGGUAGGCCUAACACAUGCAAGUCGAACGGCAGCACAGUAAGAGCUUGCUCUUACGGGUGGCGAGUGGCGGACGGGUGAGGAAUACAUCGGAAUCUACUUUUUCGUGGGGGAUAACGUAGGGAAACUUACGCUAAUACCGCAUAUGCCCUACGGGUGAAAGCAGGGGAUCUUCGGACCUUGCGCGAUUGAAUGAGCCGAUGUCGGAUUAGCUAGUUGGCGGGGUAAAGGCCCACCAAGGCGACGAUCCGUAGCUGGUCUGAGAGGAUGAUCAGCCACACUGGAACUGAGACACGGUCCAGACUCCUACGGGAGGCAGCAGUGGGGAAUAUUGGACAAUGGGGGGAAGCCUGAUCCAGCCAUACCGCGUGGGUGAAGAAGGCCUUCGGGUUGUAAAGCCCUUUUGUUGGGAAAGAAAAGCAGCAGGUUAAUACCCCGCUGUUCUGACGGUACCCAAAGAAUAAGCACCGGCUAACUUCGUG
rnacentral:rRNA from 1 species